rnacentral:rRNA from 1 species
GAUGAACGCUAGCGGCAGGCUUAACACAUGCAAGUCGAGGGGCAGCAUGAGGGUUAGCAAUAACCCUUGAUGGCGACCGGCGCAAGGGUGCGUAACGCGUGAGCAACUUGCCCGUUUCAGGGGGAUAACCGGUGGAAACGCCGACUAAUACCCCAUGGUGAUGGUUUGAGGCAUCUCUUUCCAUCUAAAGAAUUUCGGAAACGGAUAGGCUCGCGUGACAUUAGCUAGAUGGCGGGGUAACGGCCCACCAUGGCGACGAUCAGUAGCCGGACUGAGAGGUUGGCCGGCCACAUUGGGACUGAGACACGGCCCAGACUCCUACGGGAGGCAGCAGUGGGGAAUAUUGGGCAAUGGGCGCAAGCCUGACCCAGCAACGCCGCGUGAAGGAGAAGGCUUUCGGGUUGUAAACUUCUUUGUUCGAGGAAGAGUAGAAGACUGUACUCGGCGAAUAAGCCACGGCGUAACUACGUG